AGAGUUUGAUCAUGGCUCAGAACGAACGCUGGCGGCGUGCCUAACACAUGCAAGUCGUACGAGAAAUCCUGGGCAACUGGGAAAGUAAAGUGGCGCACGGGUGAGUAACGCGUGGGUAACCUACCCUUGAAUUGGGGAUAACUCUUCGAAAGGGGAGUUAAUACCGAAUAAUAUUUCAAUUCCUAAGGGAGUUGAAAUCAAAGGUGGCCUCUUCAUGAAAGCUAUCGUUUAAGGAUGGGCCCGCGUACCAUUAGCUAGUUGGUAGGGUAAUGGCCUACCAAGGCAACGAUGGUUAGCUGGUCUGAGAGGAUGGCCAGCCACACUGGAACUGAGACACGGUCCAGACUCCUACGGGAGGCAGCAGUGGGGAAUCUUGCGCAAUGGGGGAAACCCUGACGCAGCAACGCCGCGUGGGUGAUGAAGGCCUUCGGGUCGUAAAGCCCUGUCAGGUGGGAAGAAACUUGUGGAUGAUAAUACCAUCCACACUUGACGGUACCACCGGAGGAAGCACCGGCUAACUCCGUGCCAGCAGCCGCGGUAAUACGGAGGGUGCAAGCGUUGUUCGGAAUUAUUGGGCGUAAAGCGCGUGUAGGUGGUUGGGCAAGUCAGAUGUGAAAGCCUUCUGCUUAACAGAAGAAGUGCAUUUGAAACUGCUCGGCUAGAGUACGGGAGAGGAGAGUGGAAUUCCCGGUGUAGAGGUGAAAUUCGUAGAUAUCGGGAGGAACACCAGUGGCGAAGGCGGCUCUCUGGUCCGAUACUGACGCUGAG
rnacentral:rRNA from 1 species